UACGUAGGGUGCGAGCGUUGCCCGGAUUUAUUGGGCGUAAAGAGCGCGCAGGCGGUCGUUCAAGUCGAGUGUGAAAGCCCCCGGCUCAACUGGGGAGGGUCAUUCGAUACUGAUCGACUGGAAGGCAGGAGAGGGAAGCGGAAUUCCCGGUGUAGUGGUGAAAUGCGUAGAUAUCGGGAGGAACACCAGUGGCGAAGGCGGCUUCCUGGCCUGUUCUUGACGCUGAGGCGCGAAAGCUAGGGGAGCAAACGGG
rnacentral:rRNA from 1 species